AACGUUACGUAAAUGAGAUAUAUUGCCACGAAUUGGACUUGAAUGUGUGAUUAGCGCUGAUUCAUUUGAUGUUGCUUUUUAGCCAAUUUACGUGACGUAUAAUCUUGGAAUGCCAAUAGUGCUGCUAUGGAAGAAGCUAUAGCGCGUCAAAUUCACAAAUUCUAAGAAGCAUUGAAAGUAAUAGUUAUGGUUUAGCGCGAGAAUAUAAAUAAAUGAAAUGGAUCGCUAUUCUACAUAGCCAAUACUCAAUACAAUAAAUAAAAAGAGAAAAUUUACUGACCAUUGACUUAGGAUUAAUGCUACUGAUGACUCGGAGCAGCCUCAGGAAGCCAACCACUGCAACGUACAAAAGCCGAGCGACAUACGAAAAUGUGACACAGCUGGAGGAUAAAUCAACCUCCGUUGCUGAACCCAGUACGGUUACUCACCGAGCAGCUCAAUAUAUGUACUGGCACUCUAAAACGGUUUGAGAAUUGCUAAAUUCUAGAGAAUAAUCUAGAUGAAUGCAUGCAUAAAAAUUUGGUUUUGCUGACAAACGAUUUUGAAUGAGCUGCAUAAGAGAGAUGAUAUUAAAGCACUACAAGCAAGCAGUUUCCCGAACAAGGAACACCCGAUGGUGUUGUCGAUAUAGAGACUUCACUUCAAACUGUUGGAAUCAAGUUUUCAAGGAUGCACAGUUAACCAACUGAUAGAGGGUAUUAACACGCUACGGGCCUAUUUCUCCACAUCGAAGCUGUAGAAAUUCACUCAUAGCUCGCCCGGUCAUAGAGAGUGCCGAAGAUAUUGGUCGUAGUUCGCCCCGGUAACGGGAGAAGAGUUUCGCCGCUGAUAUGCCACAAACAAGCGGUUUCGUCGAACUGGAGGAAGGCCACCGGAUGCGCCAAUAUACCACUGACUGAUCGAUAAAAAAAUAACUGAGUGUGCUGAGACCACAUAUUGUUUUUCGGAGAGUAGAAGGAGAAUGAUGAAAAAUGACGUGUUCUGUUCGUCUCUAGUACUUACAUCAAUAUCGGUUUUUAUCAGCAUUUGAAGAUUUUUUGUAAUAUCAAUUAUAACAAUAAAAAUUACCAUCCAGUGGGAUUGAACUGCGAGAUAAAUAAACGAAGUCAUAUUAGUGGCUAUUUAUGGUGAA